ensembl:snRNA U6 U6 spliceosomal RNA
AUUUUAACAAUAAGGUAAGUGCUAAAAUUGGAACAAUCUGGAGAUUAGCAUGGACCCCACGCAAGGAUGAUGCUGAAAUUUGUGAAGCGUUCCAUACUUGG